rnacentral:lncRNA from 1 species
GUUAUACUCAAUUUUUUUUUUUUAUGAUCAAGUCAAAACUCCUAAAAUAUCUUAGUUGAGCCUAAUGAUAUUCACUACAUUAAGUAAAUGAAUUCGGAUGAUUUUGAGGUCUGAUUAUAGUGUUUAAUGAAGCAGAUAUACUUGUAAAAAAAUGAUAAAACAUGAAAGUAGAGGAGUCAAAUAAAAAAAGGACAUUUCAUUCAUAACAAAUUUUUUACAUGACUCAGAAGCACCUUGAAAUAUUACAUAUAAAAAAGAAGAGGCUAAACAGUAAAUAGAAGAGGCUAAGCAUCUUUAGAGUCAAGGUGUAAAGGUAAAAGCUUUUUCGACUGGAGUAGUCAACUUUUCCAGAAGUAACUCUUCCUUCAAAGCUGACAGAACAAAGUAGAGAUGCAGUUCAGCCAUUCUUUUCAAGACCUCACCAUAUGCGACCCUCCUCCAAUAUAGCCGGAGUCUAUCAUUCAUAAAAAACGUUUCAUUAAAAUGUUUUGAGUAUUCAUUAACUCCUACUUCCCUAGCUCCCUAAAGUUACUACCUUGGCUCAGUAACUUCGAUACAAUCCCCUUAACUUGAGCCUUCAGCUCCCUUAUCUCCUUAUUUGCUGCCUUUCAAGGUAUUAAAGGCUAUCUUGUGUGAAUUAUCAGAAGCUCCACUCCUUUAUCAAAAUAUGAACUUCGGCUUUAUAAAGAUGACUUCAUUUUCCAAAUUUCCGUUUUCAUAGAGAAGAACUCCAACUUCGUCUAUGCGAAAGCUUGUUUUAUCUUUGUCGCAUCAACUUCUAACUCUAAUUUGGCUGUAUCAAUUUUCCCUUCUUAGUCUUUGUAGUCAGUCAUUUUCCUCCACCUUUUUGCUGAACUCUCUAUUUAUCCUUUAGAGCUGCCUCAUUUUUAUUUAAGCUGCAACUAUGAAACCAGUUGCACGAGCCUGGAAGGUGACCCUCGGAUCUAUCAAAUCAACCAAGUUGUAGAACUUGGAACACAAAGCAUAUUUUCAAUCCAGUAUUUGUAGUAUAAUCUCGCAACUGCCUAGACUUUAACUAGAAGAAUUGCAAGCAAUUAGGUCAUUCUCCUCUGUCUAAGCCUCCAAGAAAUUUCAAGCCUGAUCUUAAGUAGGCCCCUCACAGAUGACCUCUUUGCCCCUCCUUUUUUCUUGGAGAAUUUAUUAGGGUAUUCGACCUUAUCAUUUUCAACCCUAAUGGAAUUGAUGGGGAUCAUAUAUAUGGGUAUUUAUAUGGUGGCCUUGAAGAAGGUUUUUUGGCAAGUUGGGGGCGAAGGAGGCUCUAAAGAUUUAUUGAUCUCCAAUCUCGUUUUCUUUGGCCUCUCCAACUGAGCCUCUACUUUUUCAUUCCCAUUUUUAUCAAUAGAAGAAGACGAUUUAUUAGCUUAAGAGAUGCUGGCCAUCUUGUCUAGUUGAUGCUUAUAUGUGGAGGUGUUUGUGUUGAGGACUCAACUAAUACAACCCGUUCCAAAUCACCUUAAUGGAUUCGACACGUGUCGUGCGCCGAUGGUAGAUACCAGCUGAAUGUCGAACCCACCACCAAGGUAACCUUAACUUAUUUGAUUGAAAAAUAUUUUUAACAAAAUUUUGACAGUUUCCCCUCAAAUAUGAACUAAAACCACUUCAACAAUAACCAAUUUUCUUCAAAUCAAAAAAUAUAAUAUGAAUAGGGUAUGAUAGUCCCUCAAAAUAUAAACUAUUCAAAUAAAAUGCUGGCAAAUCAACAUUUAAUUGCUUUACAACCAACGAUCCUCAAAUAUACUAAAGAUAGCAAAUAUCUAAUGAGCCCUUAAUGAACUUUUUUGAUUUAAGAUACUUGUAUUCCAAAAGAACACAUAAUUCAUAAUCUGAUAAAGGAUGUCAUACAACCUAUGAUGCGUGGCUCAAUUCGGUGGUUUGACAAGCUUCAAAGCUGCUCAAUUCGACUGCUAUCUGUCUGAUAAAGAAAAAGGUAAAAAAUAUAUGAGCUUAAAGUUCAAUGAGUGGAUGAUUUGCAAAUAAGUAAACUUUUCUCAUUUAAGCAUAUUUUCUAAAAAUUCUUGCUCUAUGAAAACUUUGAGAAAUUCUGAAAACUAGUAGCACUUUGAAAACAGAAACAUGAUUGGAUCAUAAAAUUCUUUGUUCUUUAUUCUAGUUCAUUAACUAUAAAAUAUGAUGAAUAUAAAUAAUCUAACAUCCAUGAAAAUCUAUAAAAUAUUGAUGUUGUUCAAUACUAUAAGCUGGAAGCUUUAUUCUUAGAACUGAAUAGACUGAAUUAUAUCAUCUAAAAUCUGAUAAGCUGUAGAAAUACUGAAAAAUCACACCAAAAAGAUACCCAAUGAAUAGCUUUGCUCAUGUACAGAGUAAUCUCGAUAUACAAAGCAAAGUCAUUCUAAUCUGAUAAUCUAGUCAUACGUAUGCAGAGCUGUCCCAAAAGCUAAUCACCCUAGUACACAGCCUAAAGCGUAUGUGAGUAUGAGAGAGGGUCCCAAAGACCUCUAAUAAUCUGGUCAUAUACUAUAGAACACAUUCACAAUAGUACAGAGUGGUUAAGAUCACCAUAACUGGUCAUGCACCGUGGAAAUACAUUCACACUAGUGCAAAGCGGGUAAAAUAACCUUAACUGAUCAUACACUAUAGAAAUACAUUCACAUAAGUGCAGACUAGAGUAAAAUCACCUGGAUACUUUAUGGUGGUUUUACAAAGAACUUUAAAUAUGCUGAAAUAUUUAAUACUAAAAUAAUACGAUAAUGAAAUAAUUUAACUAAAUU